GAUUUCUGAACAGUCUGCUUCUAGCCGGCCACGGUUUCGUGUGUUAGUGCAGGAAAGCGUUGUUCAUCCUUCCAUCAACUGCUACUGUUCCUCUUCAUUGCGGGAUUGUUGGCAGGGUGGAUCUUUUACUUUGAAAAAAUUAGAGUGUUUCAAGCAGGCUUAAUGCUAUGAAUACAUUAGCAUGGAAUAAUAAUUUAGGACUUCGGUUCUAUUUUGUUGGUUUCUAGGACUGAAGUAAUGAUUGAUAGGGAUAGUUGGGGGUGCUAGUAUUCAGCGGCCAGAGGUGAAAUUCUCGGAUUCGCUGAAGACUAACUUAUGCGAAAGCAUU
rnacentral:rRNA from 3 species